CGCUGCUGCUCCCGGAGCUCCCCGACGACGUGGAGUCGGUGGCCGCCGCCAUCCGGAGGCUCCAGGACGCGGCCACCAGCGCCGAGUUGGGGCGGCGCCGGGCGCGGGCGGCGCUGAGGGUCGGGGAGGGGCUGAGGGUGGACGGCAGCGAAUACGGGGCGAGAGUGGAGGCCGCCAUGGACGGACUGCGGAGCAGGAUCCAACACAGCGUGGAGCUGGAGGAGCAGCAGCUGCAGCGGCUGCAGGAGCACAAGGAGCUGAGGAGCUUCAUCCGCGACUGCACCGAGGUGGGGAGACCCCCCCCCAAAAUACACAGAGACCCCCCAAAAUACGGAGACCCCCCCCAAAAUACGGAGACCCCCCAAAAUAUGCAGAGACCCCCCCCCAAAAUACACAGAGACCCCCCCCCAAAUAGAUGGAGAUAUAACUGGGGGGGGGGCUUAAAGUGGGUAUAUAUAUAUGUAUAUAACUGAGGGGGGGGACCCCCAAAAUGUGUAUAGAAUUCAAGGGGAAGGGACCCCCCCCCAAAUAUGUGUAUAUAUAAUGGGGGGGGACCCCAAAGGAAAAUAGGGAAAUACAGGGAAUCUAUUAAUUAAUAAUAUUAAUUAAUAAUAUUAAUUAAUAAUAGGGAAAUAGGGGGAAGGGUCCGGUGGGAAGGAAGGGACGGUUUGGGGAGUUUUGGGCUGAAAAUGGCCAUUUUUGGGGCCCAAAGUUGCAUUUUUGGGUUCCGGAGGUUUUGAGGCUCAAACCCCAUUUUGUGUUAAACCCCUUUUUUAGUUCAGCUCCAGUUUUUGGGGUGAAAAGUUGCAUUUUUGGGGCUGGUUUUUUUGGGGCAGGAUGUGAAAUUUGGGGCCAUUUUUGCUGCUUUUGGGGCCAAAUUCUCUUUCAUGGAUCUGCGCCAUUUUGGGGCUUAAAAGUCCCGUUUUUGGGGUCUGCGCCAUUUUGGGGCUAAAAGUCCCAUUUUUGGGUCUGCUCAAUUUUGGGGCUAAAAGCUCCAGUUUUGGGGUCGGGGCCGUUUUUGCCCCCUAUUUUCAGCCCCAAAUUCGCUGUUUUCGGGGCGUUUUGUGCUGGAAAUUCGCCCCUUUUUGGGGCAAAACGGCCCAUUUUGGGGAGCGAAGCUUUUUGGGGGGGGUCACGUGCCCUUUUUUGGGGUCAUUCCUUCCGUUUUUGGGGUCGGUGCCAUUUUUUAUAGGCUGCCCCCUAUUUUCAGCCCCAAAAUCGCAAUUUUCAGAGCUAUUUCCCCCUGUUUUGGGGAGAAAAACCCCAAUUUUGGGGGGGAUUCGCCGCUUUUU
rnacentral:lncRNA from 1 species